CAAGUCGAGCGGCAGCGGGAAGUAGUUUACUACUUUGCCGGCGAGCGGCGGACGGGUGAGUAAUGUCUGGGAAACUGCCUGAUGGAGGGGGAUAACUACUGGAAACGGUAGCUAAUACCGCAUGACCUCGCAAGAGCAAAGUGGGGGACCUUCGGGCCUCACGCCAUCGGAUGUGCCCAGAUGGGAUUAGCUAGUAGGUGGGGUAAUGGCUCACCUAGGCGACGAUCCCUAGCUGGUCUGAGAGGAUGACCAGCCACACUGGAACUGAGACACGGUCCAGACUCCUACGGGAGGCAGCAGUGGGGAAUAUUGCACAAUGGGCGCAAGCCUGAUGCAGCCAUGCCGCGUGUGUGAAGAAGGCCUUCGGGUUGUAAAGCACUUUCAGCGAGGAGGAAGGCCAAUAGCUUAAU
rnacentral:rRNA from 1 species